GUCAUCCAUACAUCCAGGUUGGCCGAGACCACCUCAGAGGCCUUAAUGUGCUUGAACCCCGGUAAUCGCUGCUUGCAGCUUUAAUUUAGGGGUUCAAGCACGCAGUGCUGAAACCCUAUUGUAAUUGUUAGGAUUUUUAUUAUUAUUAUUAUUAUUAUUAUUAUUCUUCCGCCUUAAAACUGAACGGGCAGCCCAAACCGUAAGGCCUAGAGAGCUGAAACUUGGUCAAAAGGUAGUAGUCUUGCUCGCUACUCAGGCGCAAAGAACCGGCCCAAUCGGCCUAACGGGGGCGCUACAGCGCAAAAUACAAAAAUUUCAGACAUUUUUGGCCCGCAGUCGUAAACCGUUUGACGUAGACUCAAAAACUUUACAUCAUUGUAAUCCUUGGGUCAGUCCGAACAAAAGUGGAGUCCGAAAUUUUUGCUCUACGACGCACGGUUUUUCCGCAAAAUUGACCUAUAGCCCAAACCUACUUUUGCGAACUAGUCCUAGGUUUUUCACCCGAUCAGAACCAAACCACUGCAGAAAUAUUCUCUGGACACUCAUUAUCAAUAAUUAUCAAAAAAAAGUUGAAAUUUUGAUUCUUACGCGAAACAGUACGCCAAAAAGCGUCUAUGCUAACGUUAGCCAAAUGUUAUUUUAGCUAUAACUCUUGAACGGAAUGAGAUAUCUUCAUCAAACUCGGUACACAUUUGUAUAAGCUCAAUCUUUGGUCAAAUAAAAAAAAUUGCGCACCUCUGCCACUUGGGGGCGCUAUAAGACAGAAAAAACACAUAAAUAGCUAUAACUAGGCAACGGUUGGUCCGAUCGACUUGAAAAAUGGUAUGCAGUUUCUUUGUCUGAAGGGGCAAUAUUGUCUAUGAGGACAUUCGCGUAUCUCAAAAAACAUGGCCGCCAUUGGCCAAUGAAAUUUAAGCAACUAUUUGACAGGGUUAACGGAGGUCGAUCGGAACGAAACUCAGUGGGCAUGUUCGACUUAUGGCCCUUAAGGUCUGUAAGAAUUUUGAAAGAAAUCGGCCACUAGGGGGCGAAAUUGCGUUUUUCAAGUACGUAAACGAUUGUAUAUUGUACAAUUUUUCACACAUCAACAAAAUAUGCAUAUCAUUGGAUAGAUCUCCUCAUACCAAGCAACUUUGUGUCAAGAACCAUUGCUGUCAAUCAAAUUGUUCAUUAAAUAUUCUCAAUU
ensembl:lncRNA